UACGUAGGGGGCGAGCGUUAUCCGGAAUUAUUGGGCGUAAAGGGUUCGCAGGCGGCCUUGUAAGUCAGAUGUGAAAGACAGCGGCUUAACCGUUGUAAGCAUUUGAAACUGCAGGGCUUGAGUAGGAGAGGAAAGCGGAAUUCCUAGUGUAGCGGUGAAAUGCGUAGAUAUUAGGAGGAACACCAGUGGCGAAGGCGGCUUUCUGGACUGAUACUGACGCUGAGGAACGAAAGCGUGGGGAGCAAACAGGAUUAGAUACCCUGGUAGUCCCUGA
rnacentral:rRNA from 1 species